rnacentral:rRNA from 1 species
UACGAAGGGGGCUAGCGUUGUUCGGAUUUACUGGGCGUAAAGCGUACGUAGGCGGAUCGUUAAGUCGGGGGUGAAAUCCUGGAGCUCAACUCCAGAACUGCCUUCGAUACUGGCGAUCUUGAGUCCGGAAGAGGUGAGUGGAACUCCUAGUGUAGAGGUGGAAUUCGUAGAUAUUAGGAAGAACACCAGUGGCGAAGGCGGCUCACUGGUCCGGUACUGACGCUGAGGUGCGAAAGCGUGGGGAGCAAACAGGG